rnacentral:misc_RNA from 1 species
GGUCUUUGAAGAUCCAGAUGAACUAUAAUCAUCAUCUCUCUCACUGGAAUCACUGUUUCCCCUACGAUGUGGUCCAAGGGCUGAAGGCUUUAAGUUGGCCUUUGGUGGAGGAACAGGUGGAGCACGAGCAACUUUAGGAGGAGGUGGUGGGGGAUGAGGACCAGGAGGAGGAGGUGGUGGUGCUCCAGGAGGUGGUGGUACUCCAGGUGGUGGUGGUGCUCCAGGUGGUGGUGGUCCAGGAGGUGCAGAAGAUUGUGGAGCCUGUCUCCCAGGAGGAGGUUUUAGCGGAGGAAAUGCUUCGCCAGCACUGAAUUUUGAUGACGGUGUCUCAACUAGUGAGGGACCAUAAUUUCCAUCCUUCAUAGACAAAUUGCUCUUAAAAGAAGCUGUCAUCCUGCUAUUUGAGCCGUACUCCUUAAAAUUUGAAUUUCUGAAACCAGAAGAAUUCUGCGAAGAACUAGCAGAGAUAUCAUUUAAGUGG